CUUGCUCCUUUGAAGUUAGCGGCGGACGGGUGAGUAACACGUGGGUAACCUACCUAUAAGACUGGGAUAACUUCGGGAAACCGGAGCUAAUACCGGAUAACAUUUAGAACCGCAUGGUUCUAAAGUGAAAGAUGGUUUUGCUAUCACUUAUAGAUGGACCCGCGCCGUAUUAGCUAGUUGGUAAGGUAACGGCUUACCAAGGCGACGAUACGUAGCCGACCUGAGAGGGUGAUCGGCCACACUGGAACUGAGACACGGUCCAGACUCCUACGGGAGGCAGCAGUAGGGAAUCUUCCGCAAUGGGCGAAAGCCUGACGGAGCAACGCCGCGUGAGUGAUGAAGGGUUUCGGCUCGUAAAACUCUGUUAUUAGGGAAGAACAAAUGUGUAAGUAACUGUGCACAUCUUGACGGUACCUAAUCAGAAAGCCACGGCUAACUACGUGCCAGCAGCCGCGGUAAUACGUAGGUGGCAAGCGUUAUCCGGAAUUAUUGGGCGUAAAGCGCGCGUAGGCGGUUUCUUAAGUCUGAUGUGAAAGCCCACGGCUCAACCGUGGAGGGUCAUUGGAAACUGGGAAACUUGAGUGCAGAAGAGGAAAGUGGAAUUCCAUGUGUAGCGGUGAAAUGCGCAGAGAUAUGGAGGAACACCAGUGGCGAAGGCGACUUUCUGGUCUGUAACUGACGCUGAUGUGCGAAAGCGUGGGGAUCAAACAGGAUUAGAUACCCUGGUAGUCCACGCCGUAAACGAUGAGUGCUAAGUGUUAGGGGGUUUCCGCCCCUUAGUGCUGCAGCUAACGCAUUAAGCACUCCGCCUGGGGAGUACGACCGCAAGGUUGAAACUCAAAGGAAUUGACGGGGACCCGCACAAGCGGUGGAGCAUGUGGUUUAAUUCGAAACAACGCGAAGAACCUUAC
rnacentral:rRNA from 1 species